UCACUAGUGAUUGUAGUCAUAUGCUUGUCUCAAAGAUUAAGCCAUGCAUGUCUAAGUAUAAGCAAUUUGUACUGUGAAACUGCGAAUGGCUCAUUAAAUCAGUUAUCGUUUAUUUGAUAGUACCUUACUACAUGGAUACCUGUGGUAAUUCUAGAGCUAAUACAUGCUAAAAACCUCGACUUCGGAAGGGGUGUAUUUAUUAGAUAAAAAACCAACGCCCUUCGGGGCUCCUUGGUGAAUCAUAAUAACUAAGCGAAUCGCAUGGCCUUGCGCCGGCGAUGGUUCAUUCAAAUUUCUGCCCUAUCAACUUUCGAUGGUAAGAUAGUGGCUUACCAUGGUGGCAACGGGUAACGGGGAAUUAGGGUUCGAUUCCGGAGAGGGAGCCUGAGAAACGGCUACCACAUCCAAGGAAGGCAGCAGGCGCGCAAAUUACCCAAUCCCGACACGGGGAGGUAGUGACAAUAAAUACUGAUACGGGGCUCUUUUGGGUCUCGUAAUUGGAAUGAGUACAAUCUAAAUCCCUUAACGAGGAACAAUUGGAGGGCAAGUCUGGUGCCAG
rnacentral:rRNA from 1 species